rnacentral:lncRNA from 1 species
UUUAACCACUGAGCUACAUCCUUAGUCCUUUUUAAUUUUUAUUUUGACACAGUCUCACUAAGUUGCUUAGAGUCUCACUAAGAUGCUGAGGCUGGCUUUAAACUUACAAACCUCCUUCCUCAGGUGCCUGAGUUGCUGGGAUUACAGGCAUGCACCACCAAGCCUGGUGAAUUGUAACUGCAUUUAAAAAGUUAUACUAUGGUUGUGUUUGAAUAUCUUAUGGAUCUUAGUGUGAGCUAAACACACAAUAUGGUUUAGUGAAAUGAAAUCAUGUUACAGUUUUUGAGUUUUUUACUUUUUGAGUAGAUAUCUUUAUUAGGUAAUCUUUACGUUUCUUAAGGUUUUUAUUAUUUUUUCCUUGGUUUCUCUUUUUUUGGUGUAGUUAUACUCCUUAGAUGUUUUUAUAAUGUUGUGUCUCUCAGGUGAGAUAACUAGCUUCAUUGCAUGAAAUACAGAUUUUAAUAAACCAAGAGGCAACAAGAAGGAAAAAAACAUUAUUUCUCCUGAGUCUUCUGAAUAUGAAUUAAGAGUCAAUAAGAUGUACAUAGUGGUCUUAUGAAAACAAUGCUGCAAUAAUGACAGAUAAAAAACACCCAGUUGUUUACAACUUAUUUGAUAUAAUAACACUUAAUGGCAGUAUUCUGGUCAUUACCUAUAGAAAAGGAACUACUUAGAAACUUCCAUUGACUCUUGAUAUCCUACUCCUUUCUCUGCUCUGUGUUAAAAAAAUGGUUAAGAAGAAUCAGUGGGUGAGAAAAUGCACUAGACAUUGAGGAAAUAAUAUGAGAAACAGUUAAUUUUAAUUUUGCCUUAGAAUCAUCCAGAAUGACCUGUGCAGGAAUUUUGCAAAUUUCAUUAGGAUUUGUGCAAACGUAAAUGCAAAUAUUGAAUUCUUUUGAUAGUUUGCUCUCUCAAGCACUAUACACAGCAGUAUACUGAUGGCAGCUGCUGCAACAGAAGUACCAUUAGAGCUAUAGUACUGUACUAAAAUGUAUAGCACUGGAAAAUAAUAGCAGGGAAAGCAGUCAAAAAGGUAGCAGUCAGUGUUUGUUUAGAGGAAGUCACUUGAAAAAACUAACCAAAACAGUGGAGAAGGUGCUCAAGAGGCACUUGCUUAGCAUGCAUGGGGCCCUAGGUUUGAUCCCUAAACCACCUG